CUCUCACCGGCUGCGGCCUCGGCUACAGCCAGGGCCCAGAGGGCUCCGAGUCCCGGGAGCGGAGGCCGGAGUCGGGUUCCUGUAGAGGCUGCUCCUCCUUGUCCCCGCUCGGACGUGGUCCCCGCUGCUCGAGGUGCAGCUGCAGCAGGGCCCGGCGGUACAUGGCUUCCAGCUUCUCAAGUCGGGCCCUCAGGGCCCUGGGGCUGCCCGGCUCGUCCUCUCGGCCGCUGUCUCUAGCCCUCCGGUUCGUGCUGGCCUCUUCAGGGACCCGGCGUGCCUCCGCGGGCGUCCCGUUGCCGCCUUCGCCGGGGAGCCGCAAAGCCUGACGGAAGAGGCUGCGGUUCUCGCGCUUCAGCCGC
rnacentral:lncRNA from 1 species